UACAGAGGUGGCAAGCGUUGUUCGGAAUUACUGGGCGUAAAGGGCGCGUAGGCGGCCUUCUCAGUCGGACGUGAAAUCCCCAGGCUUAACUUGGGAACUGCGUCCGAUACUGGAUGGCUUGAGUGCGGGAGAGGGAUGUGGAAUUCCAGGUGUAGCGGUGAAAUGCGUAGAGAUCCGGAGGAACACCAGUGGCGAAGGCGGCCCCCUGGGCCGCGCCUGACGCUGAGACGCGAAAGCGCGGGGAGCGAACAGG
rnacentral:rRNA from 1 species